rnacentral:rRNA from 1 species
UACGAAGGGGGCUAGCGUUGUUCGGAAUUACUGGGUGUAAAGCGCGCGCAGGCGGUUUUUCAAGUCAGUGGUGAAAGCCCGGAGCUCAACUCCGGAACUGCCAUUGAAACUGUAAAACUUGAGGACGAGAGAGGUGAGUGGAAUUCCCAGUGUAGAGGUGAAAUUCGUAGAUAUCUGGAGGAACACCGGUGGCGAAGGCGGCAUUCUGGACCGAAACUGACACUGAGGCGCGAAAGCCAGGGGAGCAAACAGG